AUGCAAGUCGAACGGUAGCGCGGGAUCAAUCCUGGGGGCGAGUGGCGAACGGGUGAGUAAUACAUCGGAGCGUGCCCUAUCGUGGGGGAUAACGAAUCGAAGGCUGUGCUAAUACCGCAUACAAUCUACUGAUGAACGCAGGGGACCGCAAGGCCUUGCGCGAAUGGAUCGGCCCAUGGCAGAUUACGUAGUUGGUGGGGUAAAGGCUCACCAAGCCAACGAUCUGUAGCUGGUCUGAGAGGACGACCAGCCACACUGGGACUGAGACACGGCCCAGACUCCUACGGGAGGCACCAGUGGGGAAUUUUGGACAAUGGGCGCAAGCCUGAUCCAGCCAUGCCGCGUGCAGGAUGAAGGCCUUCGGGUUGUAAACUGCUUUUGUACGGAACGAAACGGCUCUUUCUAAUAAAGAGGGCUAAUGACGGUACCGUAAGAAUAAGCACCGGCUAACUACGUGCCAGCAGCCGCGGUCAUACGUAGGGUGCAAUCGUUAAUCGUAAUUACUGGGCGUAAAGCGUGCGCAGGCGGUGAUGUAAGACAGUUGUGAAAUCCCCGGGCUCAACCUGGGAACUGCAUCUGUGACUGCAUUGCUGGAGUGCGGCAGAGGGGGAUGGAAUUCCGCGUGUAGCAAUGAAAUGCGUAGAUCUGCGGAGGAACACCGAUGGCGAAGGCAAUCCCCUGGGCCUGCACUGACGCUCAUGCACGAGAGCGUGGGGAGCAAACAUGAUUACAUACCCUGG
rnacentral:rRNA from 1 species